CUGAGAGACCACAUAAGAGCUCGAGCACUGAGGGAAAAGAAAGCAAUGGCAGCGGGCGGCGGUCUGAAGGGCGUAGCGCUCAUCGCCGGCGGGGACAGCAACAGCACCGUCAGGGGAUCUCUUCACUUUAUUCACGAUACUGCCACUGGAUAUACCCAAGUGAGGGGCAAGGUCACUGGCCUCUCCCCUGGUCUCCAUGGCUUCCACAUCCAUUCAUUUGGGGACACCACCAAUGGUUGCAAUUCAACUGGACCGCAUUUUAAUCCUCAGAAUAAGCUUCAUGGGGCUCCAACCGAUGACGAAAGACAUGCGGGCGACCUGGGAAACAUAGUAGCAAAUCAAGAUGGGAUUGCUGAUGUGUGCUUGAAGGACUUGCAGAUCCCUCUGAGUGGGCCAUACUCAAUACUGGGGAGGGCUGUUGUUGUUCAUGCUGAUCCUGAUGACCUUGGGAGAGGUGGUCAUGAACUUAGCAAAACCACAGGAAAUGCAGGUGCUCGAAUUGGAUGUGGUAUAAUCGGCCUUCAGUCAGCUGUUUAAUCAUAAUCGAUAUAAGCACCCAGAACCUGCAGAAAAAUAAUUGACAUCUAUGUCCAAGAAACUGGUUGUAGAAGUUUCCUGUAGCUGUUGCUUUAGAUCUUAUCCUGAGAAGCAUAUGUUGUAAAGAAAAGCUUACAGCUGGUGGGUCUCAAUCCUGAAUGAUAUUUAUCGGCAUCAACAUCUUAUCUAUUUAUUGCGGACUAAAUUCUGGACAUCUUAACUAGCUAUUUUUUAUCUCUAUUUUAGCUCAGCUAAAUGAUUGGAGGAGUUAUGUACUGAUUUUUGCUGAAAGAAACAUGCAGUGUCUCACAUCAAGUAGAAACUGAGAGUAUAUCUGGUCAUAUUCAAUCAUGAGGCUUUCAUGUGGAUACAGGCUGUUCGCAACUUUGUGUGGUAGU